CCGUUAUUUUGGGAUUCACUCUUCAACCAUUAAAAUCCAAAAUGAUGCGGAAAGAGGCAAAGGAGAAAUGAAAAAGAACCAAUAAAAAUUGAGGCAUUUGAAGGAAAAAUCACGGUUUCAUCACUCCAUUUCUUCAAGAACGCAUCCAAGGGACAGGUUUAUUCUAUCAUCUAGUAUUCUUCCCUUAUUUUCUUUAUUUUGUAAUAGGUUUCUUUACAUUUUCCAAUUUGUUCUUUUGUAUCAACAUGAGCUAAACUUCUAAUGACGUGAUGAAUGAGGGAGCUUAACCUUGUUUAAUUAAUUUCAUUGUUUGUCAUUUAGACCCUGUUUGGUACCUAUUUUCGUAAAAAUGAGAAUAAAAAAUAUAGCUGUUAUGAAACUCAGACAAGAGAUAGAAAGUUAAAUAUGGUGGCUUGAUGUGAUGAGUAAUGGUCAUAUUUUUCAUUUUUGUGGCCAAAGAAUUAGAAUCAAAUGGGACUUAGUAACUUUGCUCCUUGUUUGAAAAGAACAUUCCUUGUUACUUCUUCCAAGAAUGUCUCUGAGCUUUCAACAUUCUUAAGGAUAAACUCAUCACAACUCCAAUUAUUGUAGAACAGGAUUGGGAUAUUCCCUUUGAGCUCAUGUAUAAUGCUAUCGAUUAUGUUCUUGGAGCAAUUUUAGGCAAAAGUUAGAUAAAAUCUUACAUGUUAUCUAUUAUUCUAGCCGAAUUUUUACCAAUGCCUAAUUAAAUUAUGCUAAUAUUGAAAAUGAGAUGCUUGCGGUGGUAUAUGCAUUUGCAAGUUUCAGUCGUAUCUCAUUUGCUUUAAGGUAAUAGUGUACACCUACCACUCAGCCCUCAAUUACUUGCUAGCAAAGAAAGAUACCAAGCCAAGGUUAAUUAGAUGGGUUCUUCUUUUGCAAGAAUUUGACUUGGAGAUUCGUAAUAAGUAGGUAGGGAUGUCAACGAGCCGAGCCGGCUUGUGAGCCUAAAUUCUCGGCUCAAGUAAAAUAUCCGAGCUUUUUUUCGUGCUCGGCAAAAAAAAUUCUCGUCUCGGGUUUUGUUUGGUUUUGGAAAUUUUUAUUUUAUUUUACUUUAUUUUAUUUUAUUUUAUUAAAUAAAAUGGUAGCAGGUCGCUGCCUUAAAUUAAGCUGCCAUUUUUGCUAAGCUGCCAUUUAAGGCAGCAGGUUGCUGCCAAACAAGGCAGCAAUUUGCUGCCCUAUUUCUGGGGCAGCGUGCUGUCUUUUAUUUUUUAUUUUUAAAUAUAGUCGGUGAGCCAUACAGGCUUGGUCAAGUUUUGCCCGGCACCUAAAAAUAAGGCUCGGUUCUCCUGAGCCUCGAGCAGGGCGGGUUCGAGCUUUUUCCGAGCUGAGCCAUGGGUGGCCCGAGCCGACGAGCCCGAUUGCCAUCCCUGUAAGUAGGGGACCAAAAAUGUUGUUAUCAAUCAUUUGUCUAGACUUAAGCAAACAGAGGUGGUAGAUAAUGGAGAGAUACAUGAAGUGUUCCUAUAUCGGCAAAUCUUGCAAAUCAUGUAUCUUCUACAAGCCACUCAUUUACCAUGAUAUGCAGAUCAUGUUAAUUUCCUUGCAAGUGACACCACCCUUCUGUAUCUUUAGGUAGAUCCUUCAUUGAUCAAAUGGGAGCUAGAUCAAAUAAUUAGAAACUUCAUACCAAAGGAUGAAAUGGAAAAGAUCCUUGAACAAUAUCACUCUUCUCUUUAUGAUGAUCACUUUGGUUCCAAGAAAACUGUAUUGAAAGAUCUUCAAUUUGGUUUUUAUUGGCCUAUAUUGUUCAACGAUGCCCACACUCUUGUCUCCGAGUGAGAUUGAUGCCAAUGUAAUGAUAAUAUCUCCAACAAUAAUGAAAUGUUUUUGAAUUCUAUUUUGGAAUUAAAGAUUUUUUGUGUAGUGUAUUAAUUUCAUUUGACAUUUCCAUUUCUCAUUCUCAAAUCCAUACCUAUUGGUAGAGAUAAAUUAUGUGUCAAAACGGGUAGAAGCAAUGGCUUUGUUCACUAAUGAUGCUCAGGUGGUGGUGAAUGUUUUAAAGAAAAAUAUUUUCUCGCGAUAUGGCACCCCCAAGCUAUCAUUUGUGAUGGAGACAAACAUUUUUGUAAUCAUCUCUUUGACUUACUUUUGACAAAAUAUGGAGUGAAACACCUGAUGGCUCAUCCCUGUCAUCUCCAAACUAGUGGCCAAAUAGAGAUUUCGAAUCAGGAGUUGAAUAGGAUUCUUAAGUUAAUGGUGAGUUCCUCAUAAACAAUUGGUCUAAAAAAAUUUGGAUGAUGCAUUAUUGGGCUAUCGCACCGCCUUUGAAACUCCCAUCGGUAUGUCUCCUUAUCAUCUUUGUUUGAAAAAUCUUGUCACCUCUCGUUCAAACUUGAUCAUCGGGCUCAUGGGGCAAUAAAAACUUCGAUUUUGAUGUAAAAUGGCUAGUCAAAAAAUAUUGCUUCAAUUGAAUGAGCUUGAUGAACUCCAUUUUGAUUCUUAUAAAAAUGCUAGAAUUUACAAAGAGAAGAAAAAAGUGGCAUGAUAAGUACAAUGUUAAACGGGCAUUCUUUAUUGGGAAACAAGUUCUAUAAAAUUCUUGACUCCAGUUGCUCCUCAAAAAACUCCACCCUAGAUGGUUGAGACCUUUUACCAUUUCUAAACUCUUAUCAUAUAGAGUGAUUGAGCUAUUUCAUGGAAAAAAUUUGAGAAAUUCAAGGUUAAUGGGCCAUACUUGGAAGAUGAUUUAUCGAAAGAGAAGUCAUCCAUUCUUCUUACCAACCUAGAGUGAUCAUGCCACAAAGUGGAGUUAGAAACUUUAAAACAAGCACUUGUUAAGAGAUAGCUUAAUUUUCUUAUCCCUCAUUUCUUUAUUUUGUAUUUUACUUGUGUGAAUACUGUCAUUAUCACCUUUUGAGUAAAUAUCAUUUUUAUAGGUCAAAAUUUUUGAAGUUCUAGCCAUCCAUGAUUUUCAGCAAGUUUGUGGGUGCAUUGUACACAAGAAGACCACAAACUCAAGUUCUUCAAAAGCAUCAUUCAACAAAAAUGCAACCGGGGAGUUUUGUCAACCCUCUUCUCUCCUUUUUUUUUGUUCUUUUACACAUUGAGGACAAUGUGUAAUUCAAGUGCCGAGAUGACAAUUUAUUGUGCUUAUUUUGAGACGAUUUCAUUUUUACAUGUUAGAGCUAUCCAUUGUUGACUUAGGAUGAUUUGAUGUUUAAACUUGUUAUUAAUUCAUAAGCUCUGAUCAAAUUUGCUAUUUGUACUUAUUUUUACUUCUGAAG
rnacentral:lncRNA from 1 species